CCAUUGCUGCACAAGAACAAGCAAGGUGUGGCAUUGCUUUAAUUUUUGUAUAAAUAGCCAAAACUGCAAGGUGGUAAGCACAGUUGCAUCCUAGCUGCAGUCUAAACAACAAUCAAACACUCACCAUGAAAUUCCUGAUUGCUUUCGCCGCCAUCUUGGCCGUUUCCGCUGCUGUAUAUGUAGCCCCAGUUGCUCAUUACUCCGCUGCUGCCUACACUCCAUACGCUACUCCAUAUGCCUUUGGAGCUCACCAUCUGUAUAAGCGUGGAAUCUACGCCGCUCCAGUAGCUGCCUACACCCAUGGUGCCUAUGCCCAUGGUACCUAUGCCCACCAUGCCUACGCUACCCCA